ensembl:lncRNA
GUUUCCCACUGUCCUGUGAGAUCAGUAACUCUCUCACUGGCUCCCUGUUCAUUAAUCUCUAGGUGGACCUCAAAAAAAUGGUUCCUCAGGCUGAUCCCUGGGACAACCAGAGAAGUUUCAGUGCCUCGGUUGAGGGGGAUGUUGUGCCAGAUAGCCUAGAGCAGCAGUGUGCCAGACCGCAGCCGGCUAGAGCGGGCAGGAGAAGAUGCAGACGGCUGACUUCAGUGUGGCGAGGAAGAGAUCGAAUCAGGGCCUCACAAGUCUACCGGUUUAGGGGUCAUGCCGCAGCUACGGUGGUGCACUGCGUUGGUGAAGGUUCUGCGGGGCUGUCCAGAGUCUCUGUGCUGGCAGAGGAUGGAAAGACUAUGAAAACGUUGGCAAAGUCUAUUGAUCUUUGGGUGGACCAAGAACCAGCCCGAUGCUGGGUCAGAGACUGUACUAACCCAGGCUGCUCGGCUGAAAGAGAUCAUGGUCCCAGGAGUGACGUGUUGCAAUGCAGCCUCCUAGGUGAGGAAGACAGCUCAGCCUCCCUGAUAACAGAGGAAUUUCUUUCAAUGAAUGAAGGCUACAAUCAUGCUACCUGGGACUCUGGGGUAACCGGCUCCCAGGUGGCUGAUGCUGGUGAUCAUGCUCCCAAGAGUUUUGCAGAGGAGUAUUCACUGGCUCCCUUAAAUAUGAUAAAGACAAACUCUGCUCAGAGCUUUGACCAGCAAGUAGAGAGCUAUCUUAAAAACCUGUGAAGUCACAAAUUUCAAACAGAUGUGCUGAAGGCAGAUGUGUUAGAUGCAAAUGCCAGUCUUCAUGUGCACAAUUUCUAGCAAUAGAGACUUCAGUCUGUAGUAAAGCUGGUUAGGUUCAAAUAGGGUAAAGACAGUAUAUUGCUCUUGGAUUGACAGACAGCAGGAAAGACAAAACUGGAACUAAAGCAUCACCUUCAUAUGACUUGCUGCCUUCUUCAGGGGUUUAAAAACCUGUAAUAAUCAGGAGGCAUUAAAAAUGGAAAAAUGACUUUUGGUUUAAGCUAACAUAACUAUUUCUCUUGCAGUUUUAGGUAUAUACUAGGAAAUAUGGUGGGUUUUUGUCUUUCUCAGUGGUAGGAUUUUUUUUUAAUAACUUCAAGGAUAUUUGAAAUUCAAAACCCUCGUAUGUGCCAGUAUUUCCUUUCGCUAACUGCUUUAAUUUGCUCUGUAGAGGCUUGGAGGGUUGGAUCGCUCUAUUUUAUUUUUUGUAUCUACAUCUACAAAUUCUAUUCCACUGUAUAUAUUUGAUUAUUCUUAUGUAAGCAGCUAUCCAAGAUAAUGUGAGAUGGCUAGGGCACAUCCUAAAAAUGGAGGAGGAGAAGAAAAAAGAAACCCUCUAGCUGUGAAUAACAUGGUAAUGAGUAAAAAAAGAAAUGAGUUUUCAUUGGUUGUUCUUAGUACACUAUUGAAUUUUUCUAUUGUUCUGAGGUAGUGUGUAGCUGAACACAAAUUAAGAUCCGGAUUUCUCUGACUGGAAAUUUUCCUUUGUUUAGUCAGUGGGUGGACUUUAGAAAUAUAGCCUAGCCUAAUACUAAGACUCCAAGGUGUAGUAACUGAAGAGCAAGUACUUCAAUAACCUGAUCAGCCAUCCUUUGUGCUAUUUGGAAAUGCAUCCAACUGACAUGAUGUAGCUAAGUCUCAAGAGUAGAGCUCUUCAGAAUGAACAAGCUUUAAAUACUAGAGAAAACUAAAAUACAUGAAGUUUUGCUUCAAAAGUCUAGUUUUUAAAUGACUAGAUUUUGCUUAGUGCUGGAUUUCUCUUUGCUAUUCCUGGUAGGUAGCUAACUAAGUUGUGAUGGUCUUAUUGCUUAUGUGGUUAAGGUAACCUCUGUCAUAAUCCUUUUGUUUGCUUAAUAAAUUCAUGU